rnacentral:rRNA from 1 species
UGAGGAAUUUUGGACAAUGGGGGAAACCCUGAUCCAGCGACGCCGCGUGGAGGACGAAGGUCUUCGGAUUGUAAACUCCUUUUGUUUGGGACUAAGAAACCUGUAGAAAUACGGGGAGUGAAUGUACCAGAUGAAUAAGCCACGGCUAACUUCGUGCCAGCAGCCGCGGUAAUACGAAGGUGGCAAGCGUUACUCGGAAUUACUAGGCGUAAAGGGCAGGUAGGUGGUUCGGUAAGUCUGUUGUGGAAGCUCCCGGCUUAACUGGGAGAGGCCAACGGAAACUACCAAACUUGAGUGUAGGAGAGGGUACUGGAAUUCCCGGUGUAGCGGUGAAAUGCGCAGAGAUCGGGAGGAACACCAAUGGCGAAAGCAGGUACCUGGACUAUUACUGACACUAAGCUGCGAAAGCUAGGGGAGCAAACAGG